AGUCAGUUGUUUUCCAGAUAGUUUAUACAAAUGAACUGAGUGCUUUUCUCACUGAAGCUUGGACAUGCCCAGCUUGACAGUUCGGCAAAAAAUACUAAGACCUUAUCCUGCGUGUUAACGCUUGAGAAAGCUGAAAUCACAGUUACUUAUCCUGAGAGCCUCAAUGGAGAAAAGGAGGAUCCAGAGUGGGGCUGAAGGAGAGAAGAAGGAAACAAAUGAAAUAUUGUGGACAUCAUCAGCUAUAAAUGGCAUUUAAACACAUGAGGAGAAACGAGGUAAUGUUGUGAGCGAAUGCAAUUAGACGAGAACAAGGAGCAAAGAACUGAAUCUGUGGUCCUACAAUACUCACAGAUUGGUUAAAGGACAAAGGACCAGGGAAGGGGAUGAAAACAGACAUUUAAAGGACUAUUCACUCACCUCAAGAAGAAAUAUUCACAAGAACAGUAAGAUUACUUCAGAGAAGUUGGUGAAGAAGGUCAUCAAGGAGUGAAUGUAAAGAAAGCCAUACGGUUGCAAGGGACUUUAUUUUUUUUUACAUAAUAAUGCAGGGUGUGC